GAUCCUUCCAAGCCUGCUUCUGACCCCCACAGUCAGCCGAUCCCUUUGCCACCCGGCAAGUGGCAGAGGAAGCGUUGACCAUAGGAAGGGCCUUCAAGUCAACGUGUUUCCCAUCGUCGAGAAGCACCCUAGAGGGAGACCAAAAUUGUUGACCCUACACGAUUCAGGAUCCAUUUGGUGAAAGUUUCAAGCUGACCCAGUUCAUCAAAACUCCAUUUUUGAUCACAACUGGCAAACAAACACCCGGGCCUGUCCAAAUUAGGCAAGAACUGCCCAAAUCAGUCCAUUCUUAGCCUAUUCAACUUUACCCAAACGGGGUUUAAGGGUUUUUGAUCGACCAAUCCAAGCCCAACCCAGAUCCUGAUCCAGAUCAGGAAUGGCAAAUCCAUCCCAAUUGACUCAUACUGGAUACAAAUCACCAAAUUUGGGCAAGAACUGGAUGAAUCUAGGGCUUAGCUGGACAAGAUUAAAGGGCCCAGAUUGGCUGGUCUGACCCUCAUCCUGAUCAUGCAUCAAAAAUCCGUCCGAUCCACCUCAGAUCAGAUCAAAUCGGGCUGAAAUCGACUAAUUAUUGGCAGAUUUCACCUAAUAUUGGGUCGAAAUCGACUAAUUCACCAUCAUUCUUUGGUCAAAUAAUGCAGAGAGACUAUGCAGCAAUUAACCGGAGAAGCAUACCAAAAUCAGGCAACCCCCCGAGUCAACGGUUGUAUGAUAUGAUAUCCACAGCACCAACUUUUAUCCCCUCCCCAUUCCAUCUGAUGGGCAUAUUCUCCAGAAGCUCGGGCUCCUUCCCAUCAUCCUUCAAUCAAAUAAUUGCAGAGAUAGGGCAGCAUUUGACCUGAGAAACAUACCAUAAUCAGCAGCCCGCCGAGUCAACGGCUAUAUGAUAUGCUAUCCUCAACUGCUACAGUUACCCAGUGCAUCUGAGGGGGCCACGAUGAUUGGCCAAGACUUCAUCUUUUUUUCUAACGGAAACAUGGGCACAUUAUCCAGAAGCUCGGGCUCCUUCCCAUCAUUCUUCAAUUUAUAAUUGCAGAGAUAGGGCAGCAUUUGACCUGAGAAACAUGCCAUAAUCAGGCGGCCCGCCGAGUCAACGGUUGUAUGAUAUCCAGUCCAUCUGAUGGGGCCAAGAAUUCAUCUUUUUUUUCUAACGCAAACCUGGGCACAUUCUCCAGAAGCUCGGG
rnacentral:lncRNA from 1 species